rnacentral:rRNA from 1 species
GACGAACGCUGGCGGCGUGCUUAACACAUGCAAGUCGAACGGAAAGGCCCUGCUCUUGUUGGGCGCUCGAGUGGCGAACGGGUGAGUAACACGUGAGUAACCUGCCCCUGACUUUGGGAUAACUUCAGGAAACUGGGGCUAAUACCGGAUAGGAGCUCCUGCUGCACGGUGGGGGUUGGAAAGUUUCGGCGGUUGGGGAUGGACUCGCGGCUUAUCAGCUUGUUGGUGGGGUAGUGGCUUACGAAGGGUUUGACGGGUAGCCGGCCUGGGAGGCGGGACGGCCACAUUGGGACUGCGAGACGGAGCAGACUCCAACGGGCGGCAGCGGUGGGGAGUAUUGCAGAGUGGGCGGAAGCCUGAUGCGGCGGCGCCGGGUGCGGGAUAACGGGCUUCGGGUUGUAAACCGCUUUGGCCGGUGAUAAAGAGUGAGUGACGGUAAUGGGUAAAGAAGCACCGGCUAACUACGUG